CUCGGACCCAACCACCAUGAUUGGGUAACUGGGACUGGCGGGAGGGGCAUGAGGGACCAAUGCCGUGGAGGGGGCUGUCAUGGGGGCCGGAUGGGGUGGGCGUGAGAGGUGGGUGUUCAGGACGUGAGCAAGGGCAGUGAUUGGAUCGGAAGGCUCGGGGACAUUAGCGGAAGACGAGGGAGGGGUCGGGGGUUCGGGAGGAGGAGGAGGAGGAGGCAAAUCAGUGGGAGGUGGAGUAGGAAUCGCU